GACGACGCUGGCGGCGUGCCUAACACAUGCAAGUCGAAGCGGGGUUGAAGCGAGAGGUAACUCGAGUUUCUACCUAGCGGCGGACGGGUGAGUAACGCGUGGGCAACCUGCCUCAAGGUCUGGGAUAACAGCCCGAAAGGGCUGCUAAUACCGGGUAUGCUUGUGGCCUCGCAUGGGGCUAUGAGCAAAGGGGAAACCCGCCUUGAGAUGGGCCCGCGUCCCAUCAGCUAGUUGGUGAGGUAACAGCUCACCAAGGCGACGACGGGUAGCCGGCCUGAGAGGGUGACCGGCCACACUGGGACUGAGACACGGCCCAGACUCCUACGGGGGGCAGCAGUGGGGGAUCUUGCACAAUGGGCGAAAGCCUGAUGCAGCGACGCCGCGUGAGCGAAGAAGGCCUUCGGGUUGUAAAGCUCUGUCUGGAGGGACGAAGGAAGUGACGGUACCUCCGGAGGAAGCCACGGCUAACUACGUG
rnacentral:rRNA from 1 species